rnacentral:lncRNA from 1 species
UUAUAAUAUAAAAAAGAAGAUGUGGUAUGAUUGCCAAUGAGACAACUAUCCACAAAAGACCAAAAUGACACAGACAUUAACAACUAUAGGUCACCGUACGGCCUUCAACAAUGAGCAAAGCCCAUACCGCAUAGUCAGCUAUAAUAGGCCCCGAUAAGACAAUGUAAAACAAUUCAAACGAGAAAACUAACGGCCUUAUUUAUGUAAAAAAGGGAACGAAAAACAAAUAUGUAACACAUAAACAAACGACAACCACUGAAUUACAGGUCUUUAUUUCUCAUUUCGUAA